rnacentral:rRNA from 1 species
AGCUCCAAUAGCGUAUAUUAAAGUUGUUGCAGUUAAAAGCUCGUAGUUGGACUUCUGGCAGGGCGCCGCGUGCCACAAUCGUGCGCACAAGGGCCCGGCCAUCCUUCUGUCAACGUCGAGGACGUUUAUUCGUCCGCGGCGGGAUCAGUUAAUUUACCUUGAGAAAAAUUAGAGUGUUUCAGGCAGGCGUAGCCGGAAUACAUUAGCAUGGAAUAAUGGAAUAGGACUUAGUCUCUUUGUUGGUUCGAGGGACUGGAGUAAUGAUUAAUAGGGAUAGUUGGGGGCAUUAGUAUUUAUUAGCUAGAGGUGGAAUUCUCUAAUUUGAUAAAGACUAACUUAUGCGAAAGCAUUUGCCAAGGAUGUUUUCA